rnacentral:rRNA from 1 species
GACGAACGCUGGCGGCGUGCCUAACACAUGCAAGUCGAACGGAGAUUUGAGAGCUUGCUUUCAAAUCUUAGUGGCGGACGGGUGAGUAACGCGUGAGUAACCUGCCUCUCAGAGGGGGAUAACAUUCUGAAAAGAAUGCUAAUACCGCAUGACAUUCCUUUCUCGCAUGGGGAGGGAAUCAAAGGAGCAAUCCGCUGAGAGAUGGACUCGCGUCCGAUUAGCCAGUUGGCGGGGUAACGGCCCACCAAAGCGACGAUCGGUAGCCGGACUGAGAGGUUGAACGGCCACAUUGGGACUGAGACACGGCCCAGACUCCUACGGGAGGCAGCAGUGGGGGAUAUUGCACAAUGGGGGAAACCCUGAUGCAGCAACGCCGCGUGAAGGAAGAAGGUCUUCGGAUUGUAAACUUUUGUCCUCAGUGAAGAUAAUGACGGUAGCUGAGGAGGAAGCUCCGGCUAACUACGUGCCAGCAGCCGCGGUAAUACGUAGGGAGCGAGCGUUGUCCGGAUUUACUGGGUGUAAAGGGUGCGUAGGCGGACUGGCAAGUCAGUGGUGAAAACUAUGGGCUUAACCCAUAGACUGCCAUUGAAACUGUUGGUCUUGAGUGAAGUAGAGGUAGGCGGAAUUCCCGGUGUAGCGGUGAAAUGCGUAGAGAUCGGGAGGAACACCAGUGGCGAAGGCGGCCUACUGGGCUUUAACUGACGCUGAGGCACGAAAGUGUGGGUAGCAAACAGG